CCUACGGGAGGCUGCAGUGGGGGAUAUUGCACAAUGGGGGGAACCCUGAUGCAGCGACGCCGCGUGGGUGAAGGAGUGCUUCGGCAUGUAAAGCCCUAUCGGCAGGGAAGAAGCAAGACGGUACCUGACUAAGAAGCCCCGGCUAACUACGUGCCAGCAGCCGCGGUAAUACGUAGGGGGCGAGCGUUAUCCGGAUUCACUGGGGGUAAAGGGGGCGGAGACGGCCAAGCGAGCCAGGGGUGAAAGCCCGGGGCCCAACCCCGGGACUGCCCUUGGAACUGCAUGGCUGGAGUGCGGGAGGGGCAGGCGGAAGUCCUGGUGUAGCGGUGAAAGGCGGAGAUAGCAGGAGG
rnacentral:rRNA from 1 species